rnacentral:rRNA from 1 species
UACAGAGGUCCCGAGCGUUGUCCGGAAUUAUUGGGCGUAAAGAGCUCGUAGGCGGUCUGUCGCGUCGAAUGUGAAAACCCGGGGCUCAACCCCGGGCCUGCAUUCGAUACGGGCAGACUAGAGUUCGGUAGGGGAGUCUGGAAUUCCUGGUGUAGCGGUGAAAUGCGCAGAUAUCAGGAGGAACACCGGUGGCGAAGGCGGGACUCUGGGCCGAUACUGACGCUGAGGAGCGAAAGCGUGGGGAGCAAACAGG